rnacentral:rRNA from 1 species
GACGAACGCUGGCGGCGUGCUUAACACAUGCAAGUCGAACGGAGUGGCGAACGGGUGAGUAACACGUGGGUUACCUGCCCUGCACUUCGGGAUAAGCCUGGGAAACUGGGUCUAAUACCGGAUAGUGUGGGAUGGGCCCGGGGCUUAUCAGCUUGUUGGUGGGGUAAGGGCCUACCAGGGGGGCGACGGGUAGCCGGCCUGAGAGGGGGGACGGCCACAUGGGGACUGCGGCAGGGCCCAGAAGCCUACGGGAGGCAGCAGUGGGGAAUAUUGCACAAUGGGCGGAAGCCUGAGGCGGCGGCGCUGCGUGGGGGAUGACUGCCUUCGGGUUGUAAACUCCUUUCACCAUCGACGCGGUAGAUGGAGAAGAAGCACCGGCUAACUACGUGCCAGCAGCCGCGGUAAUAC